rnacentral:rRNA from 1 species
AUUGAACGCUGGCGGCAGGCCUAACACAUGCAAGUCGAGCGGAAACGACGAUAAAGAUUCUUCGGAUGAUUUAUCGGGCGUCGAGCGGCGGACGGGUGAGUAAUGCUUAGGAAUUUGCCCAGUCGAGGGGGAUAACCAUUGGAAACGAUGGCUAAUACCGCAUACGCCCUACGGGGGAAAGAGGGGGACGCUUCGGCACCUUUCGCGAUUGGAUAAGCCUAAGUGAGAUUAGCUAGUUGGUGGGGUAAAGGCUCACCAAGGCGACGAUCUCUAGCUGGUUUGAGAGGAUGAUCAGCCACACUGGAACUGAGACACGGUCCAG